rnacentral:rRNA from 1 species
GGAGCUUGCUCCUGGAUUCAGCGGCGGAGGGGUGAGUAAUGCCUAGGAAUCUGCCUGGUAGUGGGGGAUAACGUCCGGAAACGGGCGCUAAUACCGCAUACGUCCUGAGGGAGAAAGUGGGGGAUCUUCGGACCUCACGCUAUCAGAUGAGCCUAGGUCGGAUUAGCUAGUUGGUGGGGUAAAGGCCUACCAAGGCGACGAUCCGUAACUGGUCUGAGAGGAUGAUCAGUCACACUGGAACUGAGACACGGUCCAGACUCCUACGGGAGGCAGCAGUGGGGAAUAUUGGACAAUGGGCGAAAGCCUGAUCCAGCCAUGCCGCGUGUGUGAAGAAGGUCUUCGGAUUGUAAAGCACUUUAAGUUGGGAGGAAGGGCAGUAAGUUAAUACCUUGCUGUUUUGACGUUACCAACAGAAUAAGCACCGGCUAACUUCGUGCCAGCAGCCGCGGUAAUACGAAGGGUGCAAGCGUUAAUCGGAAUUACUGGGCGUAAAGCGCGCGUAGGUGGUUCAGCAAGUUGGAUGUGAAAUCCCCGGGCUCAACCUGGGAACUGCAUCCAAAACUACUGAGCUAGAGUACGGUAGAGGGUGGUGGAAUUUCCUGUGUAGCGGUGAAAUGCGUAGAUAUAGGAAGGAACACCAGUGGCGAAGGCGACCACCUGGACUGAUACUGACACUGAGGUGCGAAAGCGUGGGGAGCAAACAGGAU